CAGAUUGGAACUGCAGCAAGCACAUGAAAAGCAAAAGGAAGAAGAGGGGGAAGCUUUAAAGCACUCUAUGCAGAGUGGAAUGGCAAAAGCAAUGAAAUAGCAAGCUCAACUCAGGAAGGAGAUGGCUUAUCAGUGCAAACUUGGCAACUUUGAGGUGAGGAAGUGAAAAUUGAUUCUCUUUCAAAUUAUUGAUGUUUUGCUAAUACGUUUAUGCAGGCUGCAGCUGCUAUUCAGCAAAGAUUGGACCCAGAUGUUGCUAUGUUAGUUGUUGGCUGUAUCAUGGAGAGUAGACUGCUUACAGUUUGCGUUUUAAGUACAAAGUUCUACUCCAUCAAGAAGCUAUGAAAUCUUUUCAUGCUUGUAUCCUCAGAUUGAGAGACCAGCGGCUUGAUGCCCCAUUCUAGGUUUGAACUUUGACCCAUCUUGCAACACUAGUUCUCAUCUAAUAUUUAAGCAGAUUCAGACAGAGACAUAUCUCAACUCCCUGUCAUAUACUAAAGUAUAUGUGUCAAGUUAUCGUUUAUGAUUAAACAAUAGAGUAAUAUAUAUAUAGUGGGUAAUGGCGAGACAAGAUGCUGGAAGAUAUCAGAUGUUGCAAUUUUUUUGUGGUAUAUUCUUUUGGUGUUGGUGGUAAUACUAAUACUGUAGGUGGUUAUUAAAUCAACAAGUCUCGUGUUUUCCUUUAUACAGGAGCUUCUUUAGCAUUUCAUAGCUUACAAGUUUAGUGUUUAGGAGUUGUUUAAUGGAAUGUGUCUUUGCCAAUGUUGCCAUGAUUGGUUGUAUCAAAGUAACUCCAUACAACAUAGAAGCCGAAAUUAUCCUGGAAAGGGAGGACUUUCUCCAGAUGCUGAUCAGGAGUGAAUGACUACUAAUCUAUGCAUCAGACUAAAAGGUUGGUUUGGCAUUAGUUUGGUACCAGGUUAUUUAGUUAUAUUUGACGAUGGAUUGAUACGAAUUGUUAAAGUUUAAAUUGAUGUUCGAUUUGAAUAAGUCAAAUUUGAGUAAAGAUAGUUUCAAUUAUACUCAA